UCUAGGCUGCAGCCUGCGCUCAACCAUAGCUCCCCAGAGGCGGCCGACUUGCUGGGGUGUUGUGCUCUGUGUACCCAGCUGCUUUCACUCCCGGCACCCGGCUGAGUCGCUGCGGGGGCGCGCUCGGGGCGUGCUCUGCGCCAGGCUCCCAAGGCUUGAGGUUUCUCCCUAGAGCAGGGGAGACCGAAGCAUCUGUUAACCGGGGGCCUCGGCCUCCCGGGGCUCGCGUGUCCCGGGCCUCUGCCGCGCCGGGCUGACCGUCCCCGAGCGGUGUCGUAGCCGCCCCUCCCUCCUGGGGAGGACGCCCCGUGUGAUCGGGGACCGCACGUCCCCUGGUCUUUCACACCCGCGUGCGGGCCUCGGGUUUGGGGCGUUCGAAACCCGGAAUUUGCUUGUCUGUUCGGGCUCAGUGUCGUUCUGUGUGCCUGGACUGACUCGUUUUCACUAAAAGCCUUUCAAGACCAGGGCUAAAACCUCCUUUUUCCAUACGGAGUGGCUGAGGUUUCGAUUGAGGACUCUCCCAGGGCCCAAGGGGACAGCAUCCAGACUGUAAACUGAAGCCUUUUCCUCCUCUUUCCCCUGCUUAGGUCUCUCUGCUUCGCGGCCUCCCGAAGGCUGAUGGAAACUACCCCUUGACCGGCGCUGCUGGUUCUGCAGCACCCAGCACCCCCUGCCUUCCGUGCUCCAGGGACCUGAUGUCCUGAAAUGACAACUUGGUGUAGCCGGCCACGAGAGGUGUCCAUCUUGCCAGGAAGCAGCAGGACCAUGGUGCAUCUAAAUGACACGUGUCCUCUGGAGGUUGGGGACUUCUGCAGGUUUCCUAGGUGUCAUAGGAGUUUUCAUGUCAGGAACAUCUUAGACCCCCAUGUCAUUGAGGGUUGCUGCCCUGGAUCUGGAGUUUGCUGAAAGAAUAUCAGAAUGAUGACAUGGGGUUCCUACUCCCCUGAAGGGCUCUCCUCAUGACAGAAAUGUAAGGCUCCAACUGGACCUGACUCUCCCAGCCACCAGCCUACUUGCCAGCAGAAGCACUACUCUCUGCAGAGAAUUCAGCUCAGCGCCUGAGGCUGUCAUCAGCAAGCACAAGAUGUGAAGGAGAUAAGAUGGGACAAAGAAUUUUGCAGGUCCCUGGGGACCUCUAGGAACACACUAAAAUUUACACCAGACACUUCAAGGACUUUACCCACUGAGAAGUCAUCCCAGGUUUCCAGAGCUCGAGGAAAUCGGAGAAGGUAUUACACCAAAGUGGCCAAGAACCAGGAUUAAUGUCAAGAAGAGCCACGAUCUUUCCAGGAAACCAUUGCCUGAUACCUGACCUUUGUGAAGCAGCUGAUGGGAGAUUACAUGGCAGAAUCAGCCCAGCAGAAUGGAAAGCUGGGCAGUGCAGAGGUAUAUUUGUUCAUAAAAGAAAAAGAAAGGAGAUAUUAGGCACUGUGCUGAGAAUAGAGCUAUGAGGAUGAAUAGGAAAGUUUCUGACUUCAGAAGGAUCAUGUACAAGUAUAUAGAUAGUAAAUUCUAUUAAUUCGCACAUCAGAUAUUGAUGGAACAGUCACUCUGUGAUGGGCUUCUCUCCAAGCUGAGCACAUAGCUCCAAACAAAGCAAAUGAGAGAAUGAGA